rnacentral:tRNA from 1 species
UCCCUGGUGGCUCAGCAGGUUAAGGAUGCCACAUUGUCAAUGCUGUAAUGCAGGUUCAAUUCCUGCCCCAGGAA